rnacentral:rRNA from 1 species
GCGAACGCUGGCGGCGUGCCUAUACAUGCAAGUCGAACGCUUCUUUCCUCCCGAGUGCUUGCACUCAAUUGGAAAGAGGAGUGGCGGACGGGUGAGUAACACGUGGGUAACCUACCCAUCAGAGGGGGAUAACACUUGGAAACAGGUGCUAAUACCGCAUAACAGUUUAUGCCGCAUGGCAUAAGAGUGAAAGGCGCUUUCGGGUGUCGCUGAUGGAUGGACCCGCGGUGCAUUAGCUAGUUGGUGAGGUAACGGCUCACCAAGGCCACGAUGCAUAAGCCGACCUGAGAGGGUGAUCGGCCACACUGGGACUGAGACACGGCCCAGACUCCUACGGGAGGCAGCAGUAGGGAAUCUUCGGCAAUGGACGAAAGUCUGACCGAGCAACGCCGCGUGAGUGAAGAAGGUUUUCGGAUCGUAAAACUCUGUUGUUAGAGAAGAACAAGGACGUUAGUAACUGAACGUCCCCUGACGGUAUCUAACCAGAAAGCCACGGCUAACUACGUGCCAGCAGCCGCGGUAAUACGUAGGUGGCAAGCGUUGUCCGGAUUUAUUGGGCGUAAAGCGAGCGCAGGCGGUUUCUUAAGUCUAUGUGAAACCCCCGGCUCAACCGGGGAGGGUCAUUGGAAACUGGGAGACUUGAGUGCAGAAGAGGAGAGUGGAAUUCCAUGUGUAGCGGUGAAAUGCGUAGAUAUAUGGAGGAACACCAGUGGCGAAGGCGGCUCUCUGGUCUGUAACUGACGCUGAGGCUCGAAAGCGGGGGAGCAAAC